rnacentral:tRNA from 1 species
GGAGUUGUAGCUCAGAUGUAGAGUGCUUGCCUCGUAAGUGUGAGGCACUGGGUUUGAAUCCCAGCACCA